rnacentral:misc_RNA from 1 species
CUGCGAGUUCGCGGGAGAGUAAGUUAUUGCCAGGGUUUUUAUUUUAUACUUUAAACAUUGAUUUUAUUUUUUAUGUUUUUAGAUGUUCAUGUUUUUGAAUGUUUUAUUCGAAUAAUAUAAAAAAUAAAAUAUAUAUAUUGACAUGGAUUAAACAAAGAUAUAUAUUAUUCUAUGUUGUAUAAACAAAUUGGCAAAAUAGAGAUGGAAGAUAAAAAUAUGGUCAAAGUAAUAAGAGUCUAUGGUGAAUGCCUAGGA